CUUGCCUCACCUUUAUUCUUCCUUCCCUUCAUUCACUCCAGCUUCAAGAGCCUCUAAUUAGCUGUGUGACUUAAUUACUCCAGCUCGAUCUUCUUCUGCUUGCGGGUUCUCCCACUGCUUAGGACUCAACAGUGGCUGCACCUUCUCAAGAGGCUAUCCACAGAAACAAAACUCACUAUCUUACAGAGAUAUUUUUGAUGACUAGUGAAUCAGAUCUCUCAGCACUUUGAAGACUAGGGCUGUGCUGGACCUGUGAGACAGAAGGAGCACUGACCCCUCAGGCAUCAUGUGGAGGAGCUGACUGGUCAUGAACUUUCACUAUGGACUAUUUAGGGUGUCUGAGAAGCAGAACGACACCAUCAAACCCAGAAUCCAAACAACUUGGAAGUAUUGAGUGAAGGCAGAGACCCCGAACCCACACAUAGAAUGCUUUACAAGCCUGUAAUUGUCCUCAAGGACAACGUGAACAGAAAGGAGACAGAACUUCACUUAAGCUGAAUGAAAUUCCAUUGGGACAAGCUUCACAUUUCAUCAUCUAAUCACUUCUUAACACCACCUGGGAUGCUUCCAUUUCCUCACCAUUGGAAAAGAAUGGCAACAAACAUGGAG
rnacentral:lncRNA from 1 species